AUGUCGUGGUCGUCGAGUGCUGCGUCCGCUCCCGGAUUUCGUCGAGCUGCGGGAAGGAGCGGGGAUGAGUCGCGCUCGCAGGUGCGCUGCCGCGAGAACCCAAUGUGCCACUGCAACCCUCAGAGGGAGGCGCCAAGAUGGAUCUCCUGGAGCCGGCAGAACCCUGGCAGGAGGUACUAUUGCUGCGUGGAUGCUAUGCAUGGUGGUUGUGGAUUUGUGGAGUGGCAUGAUGAUCCUUUGCCAAAAUUUUGGAGUGAGCUGAUUGGGGAUCUGUUGGAAAUAUGCCCUAGAGGCAAUAAUGAAUUGGUUAUUAUUAUAUUUCCUUGUUCACGAUAA
rnacentral:rRNA from 1 species